AUGUAUUUAAGAUGCUUGGGUUCAUUGUUAACAACAGUACAUUUUACUGAAGUAAGUGGUUGCAGAGGCGGCAAAGCUGGAUCUGAGAUUUUCAUACCCAAAGAAAAAGGGAUGGCUGACAAUCACAUAUUUCCAACAUUAUAGGGUUGAAAAAUGUUUUGUUACUGAUUUUCAUUUGUACUUAGUGUCCGAUGCAUUUUGCUGCAGUCUCCAACAUCAAUUAGCCAGCCCUGAUGGAUUCCAAUUGGUCUGAUAGCACUUUUCAUUGUGGCAAUGUCCUGUUAAAAUCUUUCACCAUGUUUGUCACUGAUUGCACCUAAAAUUUUGGGAAAGAAGUCCAAGUGUGAAUGCAGAAAACAAAUCUUCAGUGACAUGUUGCACUUCAUGGUCUUGUAUACUAUAAGAAGUCUGUUAACCAGCUGAAUGUAAUUUGGUGCUCUGCAGUUGAUACCACUGCCUUC